CUCCCUGUGCAGGACCGAGGGAGUGCUGCGCUGUCGGAUGUGCCAGCUUUCAGAUGAGACGUGAAACCAAGGCCGUGUUUGCUCUCUCUCAGAGAACCGGAAAUGUGAUUUUAAUGCAUGUUGACUGUUCCAUGCACCACGCAUAGAGAGGCACAAGAGAGCAGGUGUACUGAAAGCUGGAGGACAGGUGUCCAAGAUGGGUGACUGACGCUGGAGAGUUCAGAAUGGAGAGAACUGGACUGAGCCAGAAGCAGAUACCUGGAAAUCGCUUACUCACCGAGCAUGGCCAGGGACACUGUGAUAUCCAGUCUGAAGAAUAUUUUCACUCGCUGGGGAUGUCCAAAUGAUCUUGUCACCGACAAUGGGCCUCAGUUCACAGGCAAGGGUUUUGCUGAGUUUGCCAGAGUGUAUGACUUUCAACAAUUAACGACCGGUCCAUAUAACCCACAGGCCAACGGGCAAGUGGAACGAGCUGUGCAGACUGCCAAGGAGAUUCUGCGUCAGGAUGACCCAUUUCUAACUCUGUUGAGCUACAGAGCUACACCAUUGCAAGCAACUGGAUUUAGCCCAGCACAGCUCAUGCUUGGCAGACAGCUCAGAACUAGCGAUAACUGACAUGCCACAAGAUCCACCAGACACUGGAGGUGUUGCAGACACGUUCCGAAUUGACAAUUCCCAGAGCCCACACCUCGAGGCCGGAUUGUUAGAAAACCGGUGUGCUACAGAGACUAUGAAACCUGAUCUAGCUAACACGUAGCUAGUUGCCUUAGAGAGAGAACUGGACCUUUGUAUUAGUUAACUGUUUGAUUAGGAAGUUCGUGAUAUGUUAAAAAAGUGAAAAUGCUAAUGUUACUUUCUAGCUAAUGACUAGUUUAAAAGUCCUCAUUUGUGACAUAGUGGACUUGUUAGUGACAUCCAUUAUUCUUUAUUCAGAAGGGGGGGAUGAUAUAAUUAUAUAUCUAGGCAGGAACCUUGGCCAUAGGGACUUUUGUACUCUGGGAGUGCUGCUGUGUAGGGGUGACAUUGUGUGACACAUUCCUCACAGCAGGAGUCCAUGUUUUCACUUGUGUCUAUUCUGUACGUACAUUCAAUAAAGCACUGUUCACUGUCAUAAACACCUCCGAAUAUUUCAACUAGGUACAAAUCCUAAUCAAUUUGUU